rnacentral:rRNA from 1 species
AGUGAACGCUGGCGGCGUGCUUAACACAUGCAAGUCGAACGAGAACGGAUUUAAGCUUGCUUAAAUUGUCAGCUAAGUGGCGCACGGGUGAGUAAUAUAUAGGUAACGUGCCCUAGAGAGGGGGAUAACAUUUGGAAACGAAUGCUAACACCCCAUAUGCCUUUAAGUCAUAAGACUGCAAGGGAAAUAUUUAUAGCUCUAGGAUCGGCCUGUACGGUAUCAGCUAGUUGGUGAGGUAAUGGCUCACCAAGGCAAUGACACCUAACUGGUUUGAGAGGAUGAUCAGUCACACUGGAACUGAGACACGGUCCAG